rnacentral:rRNA from 1 species
UACGGAGGGGGCUAGCGUUGUUCGGAGUUACUGGGCGUAAAGCGCGUGUAGGCGGCUCUGCAAGUCGGGUGUGAAAUCCCAUGGCUCAACCAUGGAAGUGCACUCGAAACUGCAGGGCUAGAGUCCUGGAGAGGAAGGUGGAAUGCUUGGUGUAGAGGUGAAAUUCGUAGAUAUCAAGCGGAACACCGGUGGCGAAGGCGGCCUUCUGGACAGUGACUGACGCUGAGACGCGAAAGCGUGGGGAGCAAACAGG